AUAAUUUCACCGCUAUGGCUCAAGACAGCAGGCGCCGCCGGGCUUAAUUUCCUGCCGAGGUCUCGCGAAGGAUAAUCUGUGCGUAUAAGACACUUAUUAUGGCUUCCGAAACGCGCUUGAGUUCGGAAGCCUUUUUUGCGCGCUCG
rfam:Synergistes jonesii strain 78-1 contig_54, whole genome shotgun sequence.